CAUAAUGAGGUGGGCCCCACUCUAUUGAAUGGAAACGCCUCUAGGACCCUAUAAAAGGGGUCCUAGGGGUGUCCUCCAUUCUCAACUCACCUUGACCACACACACUCCACACUAGAGCAUCCAAGGAGCCCGAAUCGACUACUCCCACGUGAGUCGCCGAUUCCCCUCCUCUUCUGCAGGUGUUUGACGUAGAGCGCGCGUCGUGGACUCCACAACUCCGGCUCAUCUCGCCACCCCGCGAGCCCACUGGUAGCAGAUUCCGUGCUUCAUCAUUAAUGUAGUUCUCAUUCAGACCUAACACAAAUUGGAUGACCUUAUCAUUGUCUUGUAUUUUGGCAACCUCAGAUAGCACACCACAGACACAUUUUCCACAUUUACAGUAGGGUUUGAACACACAAGAGUCAAGUCUGUCCCAAAGUGACUUAAGUUUCCCAUGUAUAGUAGACCACUACUGUAUCUUGUUCCUGACUGAGAAGUGUAAUGUCUGCUUUCAUCUGAAAAAGUUGAGGCGCAUUUGUUUGUUUGAAUCUCUGCUUCAAAUCCUUCCAAAUUAAUGAUGUGAUAUCACUAAACAUUAGAGUUGUACCAAUAUUCGCAGAAACAACAUUAUAUAUCAAACUUAGAACCAAACCAUUGUUCUAUUCUCAAUUCUUAGACUCUGUAAUAGUUUCCUUUAAAGACCUAAUCAACUCUCCAGUAACAUACCUAAGCUUUCCUCUAACCACUAAUGCUAUAUACUUGUAUUGUUGUGUACCAUGUGUAAUAAUUUUCUUCCCUAGUUACACAUUCACUGUCGUAAUCUUAUCCUUUUCCAUUUGAAUAAGAUGAAAUUAAAAAAACACAGACCACAGUACUGCUUAGCUAGGAUCCCAAAAUGAAGAAUCGCAAAUCACAGCCGCACAACAACUCGCAAAUAAAAGAAGAAUCGAAAAUCCCCAAAUCGUAAAUAUCGCAGCACGUAUAAAUCCCCAAAUCGCAACAACAGUAAGGUAAAAAUCAACUUCACUUACCAGCGUAGACCCUUGCUAUGCUCUGAUACCAUGAGAAGAUCCACCAUGAGUUGAUAGCAGAAUAAUGGAGAAGAAAUGUGAAGAUCCGUGUUGGGGGAGAAAUUGUCCUAGAUAUCACGAUGUGGAAUGUUUAACUUGAAC
rnacentral:lncRNA from 1 species